rnacentral:rRNA from 1 species
GAUGGACGCUGGCGGCGUGCCUAAUACAUGCAAGUCGAGCGAACAGGCGAGGAGCUUGCUCCUCUGACGUUAGCGGCGGACGGGUGAGUAACACGUGGAUAACCUACCUAUAAGACUGGGAUAACUUCGGGAAACCGGAGCUAAUACCGGAUAAUAUAUUGAACCGCAUGGUUCAAUAGUGAAAGACGGUUUUGCUGUCACUUAUAGAUGGAUCCGCGCCGCAUUAGCUAGUUGGUAAGGUAACGGCUUGCCAAGGCAACGAUGCGUAGCCGACCUGAGAGGGCGAUCGGCCACACUGGAACUGAGACACGGUCCAGACUCCUACGGGAGGCAGCAGUAGGGAAUCUUCCGCAAUGGGCGAAAGCCUGACGGAGCAACGCCGCGUGAGUGAUGAAGGUCUUCGGAUCGUAAAACUCUGUUAUUAGGGAAGAACAAAUGUGUAAGUAACUAUGCACGUCUUGACGGUACCUAAUCAGAAAGCCACGGCUAACUACGUG